rnacentral:rRNA from 1 species
AGCGAACGCUGGCGGCAGGCCUAACACAUGCAAGUCGAACGAAGUCUUCGGACUUAGUGGCGGACGGGUGAGUAACACGUGGGAACGUGCCUUUAGGUUCGGAAUAACUCAGGGAAACUUGUGCUAAUACCGAAUGUGCCCUUCGGGGGAAAGAUUUAUCGCUGAAAGGUCGGCCCGCGUCUGAUUAGCUAGUUGGUGGGGUAAUGGCCCACCAAGGCGACGAUCAGUAGCUGGUCUGAGAGGAUGAUCAGCCUCACUGGGACUGAGACACGGCCCAGACUCCUACGGGAGGCGGCAGUGGGGAAUAUUGGACAAUGGGGGAAACCCUGAUCCAGCCAUGCCGCGUGAGUGAUGAAGGCCUUAGGGUUGUAAAGCUCUUUCGUCAGGGAAGAUAAUGACGGUACCUGAAGAAGAAGCCCCGGCUGACUUCGUGCCAGCAGCCGCAGUAACAC